rnacentral:lncRNA from 1 species
CAUAUGAGAUACGUAUGCAGUGGAUGCGACAUCCGCGCGAGUCAUUUUCAUUUAACCCCUUUUUUAGUAAACAGCACAAGAUAAACUAACACCCUUUAGACAAGAACUACAAAAGUGGAUCCCAUAGAGUACUACGGAUGCGUAGGGGUGCUAAUACCUUCCCUUCGCAUAACCGACUCCCGAACCCAAGAUUUGGUUGCGAGACCUGGUCUUUUCCUUU